rnacentral:rRNA from 1 species
AUUGAACGCUGGCGGCAUGCCUUACACAUGCAAGUCGAACGGCAGCAUGAUCUAGCUUGCUAGAUUGAUGGCGAGUGGCGAACGGGUGAGUAAUACAUCGGAACGUGCCCUGUAGUGGGGGAUAACUAGUCGAAAGAUUAGCUAAUACCGCAUACGACCUGAGGGUGAAAGUGGGGGACCGCAAGGCCUCAUGCUAUAGGAGCGGCCGAUGUCUGAUUAGCUAGUUGGUGAGGUAAAGGCUCACCAAGGCGACGAUCAGUAGCUGGUCUGAGAGGACGAUCAGCCACACUGGGACUGAGACACGGCCCAGACUCCUACGGGAGGCAGCAGUGGGGAAUUUUGGACGAUGGGCGAAAGCCUGAUCCAGCAAUGCCGCGUGUGUGAAGAAGGCCUUCGGGUUGUAAAGCACUUUUGUCCGGAAAGAAAUGGCUCUGGUUAAUACCUGGGGUCGAUGACGGUACCGGAAGAAUAAGGACCGGCUAACUACGUG